UUACAACUCCGACGAGCUUCCACUUUCAUCUUUCCUUCUUUUAUGAUUUUAUUGUUUGCUUAAAACUUAGUUGCUAUAAGUUCUUAUACCAAGGUGAGAUGUUGCUUCUUAUGUGAAGGAAAAUGGAAGUAGUUUUUUGUGAAGGUGGUUAUGAUGUGUAGUGAAGAAAAAUGAAGAUGUAGUUAUGGUUGAUUUUAAAAAUGAGAAAGAUGGUGAGAUUUUUUUUGGAUGUGUUAUGUUGUGGUUGUGUUUAGAAAGAGAUAGUUUUUUUUAUGGUUUUUGAUGAAGUUAAAAAUGGAAAAAAGAUGGUUUGUAUGGUUUAUUUGGAGUAUAGGUUUUGUAGUGUUGUGGUGUAAUUGUAGGAAAUGGUGAGUUGAAGGUUGUUUUUCAUGUUUGGAGUAUGUUGGUUAUGGAAUGAGAAGUGUUUGUGUGAGUUGAUGAAGAGUGAAUAUGGUUGUUCAUGGAAAUGGAAAGGCUGACAUGAAAAUGAGGUUUAUAUUUUGGAUUGUGAAUGAUGGAGUUAAUUUGUGGUGUUUUUGAGAAUGAAAAGGGAUGUGAAGAGGAAGUGGCUC
rnacentral:lncRNA from 1 species